rnacentral:misc_RNA from 1 species
CCGGGACGACACCAUUAUGGCUACAGUUGUGAAGUGACGUACGCUUGCGUCUCGGAUCGUGCGAAAUAAUGCGCUGCAGCUAAGUCCAGCGUGCUGCAACUGAGUGCACAUCAAGUUAGAAAGCGUCAGAAGCGCUCUACAAAGCCGACGAGAGUUAAAGAUGUAGCGCCGCCGAGCGAGGAUUUCGAUAAAGAGUAACUACGUGGACGUCGUCUUGCCAGUUUCAGUUUUGCCAUAGCAAACGCUUGCCGAUCGCACGCAUCCGAUGGAAACCUUCGCCUACGCGACCUACCUCCAACACCUGAUCGUUACUUUGGCAAUCAUUCUGCUCUUUCGAGUUGUCUGGGUUUUAGUCAGGAUCAGACAUGCCGCCGAAGCAUGCAAGGUACCCCGCAAGAAACCUGCCAAGCUGAUGAUUGUGCUAGGAUCAGGCGGCCACACAUUCGAGAUGCUAAAGCUGGUGGAGAACAUAUCGACAACAUCGUACAGCCCUCGUGUCUACGUGACGGCCACAACGGAUCCAAUGAGCGCCGAUAAAGCCAAACAAUUAGAGAUGUGGAGAGUUGCAUCGUCGUCGCAGGUCCUGCUUCUGAGAUUCCUCUCUUCUAAAAAGGACGCCAGCGACGGACCUGAGGCGGAAGAACCUUCUGACUAUGUUGUCGAGCGCAUUCCAAGGAGUCGAGAGUUGCACCAGUCCUGGCUGACCACGGUGCCGACAACCCUUUACGCAGUUUUGGCAUCGGCACCCAUCCUUUUGCGCCAUUCACCAGAUGUCAUUAUCUGCAAUGGCCCAGGAACAUGUGUGCCAAUAGUGCUGAUGUCGUUCUUGCUUGCCGUGCUGGGUACGAAGAGGACAAUGGUGGUGUUUGUGGAGAGCUUCUGCCGAGUCGAGACACUGUCAAUAUCAGGCCGCAUCCUGUACCACCUUGCAGACCACUUUGUGGUCCAGUGGCCCCAGCUCACAACCAAGUACCCUCGGGCUAGAUACCAUGGUCUGCUCAUCUAAGUGGGCAACCCACUGAUCUCUGUGCAACUCAUGUGGAUUGUGCAAGGCAUUCUUAACCUUUUGAGUGCAGGGCAUCUUGAGAGCUGAGUUGGUUUUCUCUCCCAUGGGCUUAAAUGCUAAGGCUAUGUUAGUGACACAAUGAGAGGCUUUAAAUGAAAUGAUUAGUGUGCCUUGUCCAACAGUACAAAGAGGUGAGUCACUUAAACAUGUAGUAUACAGCUGUUGCUUUUUAUCUUUUCUGAGGUUAUCCAAGAAAUGGGUACUAGUUGGUUUCACCAUGGAGAGCCACUCGUUCUUGCAGAUUCAUUAUUUCUGCUCUCAUGUUACUGGAAAUUCAUAAGUGAUUUUUGAAGUUCCGCAUUUUUCAGAAGCUGUAACUGUUUUCUAUGGCAUAUCCACCAUAUUAGAGAUCAGGAGGCUGUUUGAAAAAAAUUUACUUCCUUUUUUUUUUUUUUAAAUACAUAUCAAACAACCAGGUACCUUUCGCUGAGACAAGUUGUGGCUAGAGGAUGCAGUCGGUCCAGAGUUGCACUUUGAAUGAGCGGCAGAGAGUAUACGUGAAACAAGAAAUGUGUGCACUCGGGUACUGCAGUGGGUGCAUGCAGAGCCUCACCUGAGCAUAUAUAGUACUUUGAUAAAGGGCUUGAAAGUUUAAACAUGUGCAGUUGACAUCUGCCAAAUUUGAUGCGAGGCCAAAAAUAGGCCUCUGGAACUAUACUGUCUCCUUAGUCCUUGCAAUUCGUAGCUGGAACUAGGCAUCUUGCAUUGCUCCCUUGUGCAUACUGUCAGCAUGUUGUGAAAGUACUGCCAGAAGCUUGCUAGUAUGGAGGAACGAAAGAGAGAGGGACAAACUCCUCAUUAGUGUGAUUCAAGUGGCA